rnacentral:rRNA from 1 species
UAGGGAAUCUUCGGCAAUGGGGGCAACCCUGACCGAGCAACGCCGCGUGAGUGAAGAAGGUUUUCGGAUCGUAAAGCUCUGUUGUAAGUCAAGAACGAGUGUGAGAGUGGAAAGUUCACACUGUGACGGUAGCUUACCAGAAAGGGACGGCUAACUACGUGCCAGCAGCCGCGGUAAUACGUAGGUCCCGAGCGUUGUCCGGAUUUAUUGGGCAUAAAGCGAGCGCAGGCGGUUUGAUAAGUCUGAAGUUAAAGGCUGUGGCUCAACCAUAGUUCGCUUUGGAAACUGUCAAACUUGAGUGCAGAAGGGGAGAGUGGAAUUCCAUGUGUAGCGGUGAAAUGCGUAGAUAUAUGGAGGAACACCGGUGGCGAAAGCGGCUCUCUGGUCUGUAACUGACGCUGAGGCUCGAAAGCGUGGGGAGUGAACAGGAUUAGAUACCCUGGUAGUCCACGCCGUAAACGAUGAGUGCUAGGUGUUGGAUCCUUUCCGGGAUUCAGUGCCGUAGCUAACGCAUUAAGCACUCCGCCUGGGGAGUACGACCGCAAGGUUG